rnacentral:rRNA from 1 species
CACGUAGGGGGCAAGCGUUGUCCGGAAUCAUUGGGCGUAAAGAGCGUGUAGGCGGCUCGAUAAGUCUGCUGUGAAAGUCCAGGGCUCAACCCUGGAAGGCCGGUGGAAACUGUCGGGCUAGAGUCCGGAAGAGGCGAGUGGAAUUCCCGGUGUAGUGGUGAUAUGCGUAGAUAUCGGGAGGAACACCUGUGGCGAAGGCGAGUCCCUGGACAACUCCUGACACUGAUGCACGAAAGCUAGGGGGGCAAACAGG